AUACUUAGCUGGCAGGGAAGAUAUCAUGACCACAGAGGUUGUUUCCCAGGGUGAGGCUUAUCCAUUAUCCUUGGGACAUUCUGACACCUAUGAUUUUCCCAAAUGCAGAAAACUCACCUGCAUAAUGUGUGGAAGUGGGGGGGGGGGCACUAUGCUCAUGUUCUCCCCUA